rnacentral:rRNA from 1 species
CAGCAGCCACGGGAAUACGGAGGGGGCUAGCGUUGUUCGGAAUUACUGGGCGUAAAGGGCGCGUAGGCGGCGAUCAAAGUCAGGCGUGAAAUUCCUGGGCUCAACCUGGGGGCUGCGUUUGAUACUUGAUUGCUAGAGUGGGGAAGAGGGUCGUGGAAUUCCCAGUGUAGAGGUGAAAUUCGUAGAUAUUGGGAAGAACACCGGUGGCGAAGGCGGCGACCUGGUCCUUGACUGACGCUGAGGCGCGAAAGCGUGGGGAGCAAACAGGAUUAGAUACCCCUGUAGUCCCUGUCUCUUAUAC